CUUUGGCGCCGCCGGGCUCUCCUCCUACCCCUGUGCCGCCUCCCCCUGUCAAUCUCCACCGCGGCCGACUGGAUUCUCCUACACCCGUACGCCGCCUAGCCCCCCUGCCAGUAUCCACAGCGGCUGGCUGCCGUUUUUGUCCACUAUGCCGCCGCCGGGCUACCUCCUCCUGCAUCCUUGCACCGCCUAGAUCUCCACUGCAGAGGGGCAAGGAGAAGACAUCAGGGGGCCACCAUCAGCAACACUGUACUUUAACUGCAACAUCGUUGGUAGCUUCACCAACAAAUAGUCGAGUCAGUGGUUCAUGACCAUGCUAUAUACUGAUGAUAUAUUCUUAACGAAGUCUGCUAAAGGUAGUUUUUACCAUAUUUUCGAACCUGACCGAUAUGUUCGGAUGCACUGAACUAAGGUUUGCCUUUGACUUCUUUCGAUGAAUUUCUGGUUGUCCUGGUGAACAUGGAGACACUUAAAUUGCUUUAUUUGGAUUCUGGAGUGAGCUUGCUGCCCUUCUCCUCAGAGAGAGACAUACCAUUCGUACAAAAGUAUUAAGCAUUGGAUGUAAAGUGGAUUACCCACUCGGUAAUAAAACAAUAUGUAGCAUGUAUUAAGCUGAAUCAUGCUUAUAACACUGAAGAACAUAGUAAUUUCCAAAAUGCAAGUAAGAAGCUGCAGUUUUGGAGGAUUUUUGAUUAAAAAUUGACAAGUGCCACUCACCUAAGUUGUGUUUUCAGGUCAUCCUACCCCGCAUCAGUAAGGCAAGUGGUAGCAUAUCCUGAAAAUCCCUUUUUCCGAUUGUCUAAACACAUGCAACAACUAAUUGACGUCUUGUCAGGUUUGUUACGGAGUCCAACUUGUAAAUUGUACUUUCACCAAGGGAGUUUUACUUGUCAGAUAGAUAAUUUAACAUCAGUGUUUGAACAAUCAUUGGAUGAAACAGAUUAGAGCAUUUUGGUUUUGGUCCUUCACAGACGGCCAGUAGGAAAUUCAACAUUCAGAACAAUUCUGACUGAAGUACGGGUGUAAGCUUUUUGCUGGUGUGGUUCUUUGCAUGCAGCUACAAUUUUAGUUAUGGUUUUAGUAGUAGUUUAGGAGCACACAGUCAUAAUGCUUCAUUAUUGUUUAUGGUAGCUGUCUUUUUUCCGUACUAAUCCAGGGCACAACCAAAGUGUUACUUGGUUGGUUAUGGUACAAGACAUUGGACACGGAUACAAUAUUUUUUAUACUUUGCACGUGGUUUGUGAAGAUUGUAUUAUAGCUACAUUGACAAUAUUUUAGGCUGAAAAUAUCUGCCUGCUAAAAUGUUGUCUAUGUUAUGGUGAAGCCAUGGAGAAGAACACAUUGUUCAACAUAUGAGGGAUUAUUUUUGGAAGUUAGUAGUAUGCUUGCACAAGAAACGAACGAACUUAAGAAGGAUCAGCUUGCUGAGAAAUCACCUAUUAAAGAGUUUGCCUUGCAAAAAAUCUGGGAAUACAUCAGGUCAAGGAAAUUAGGAAUGGUAAGGAGGCAAGGAUUAGUUUCAUGAUCAUGGAGAAUCUUUUAUUUGGUCAUAGAUAUGAUCUGAAGGGUGCUCUUUUCUCAUGAUAUGCUGCUGAUCAACAAAUCCCAAGAGUGUAUUGUUGGGUCAAAAUUUUAUUGAAGACAUGCCUACCAUGCCUAUCCACAUUAAAGGAAAAACCAAAAACUUCCUGGAAUGUGCUCUUUGCAACCAUACGUCAUUUUUAUGUAGCAUGAAUUUCAUGGAUUACUCCAUGUUAGUUGGAGUGGACAAACAGAAGAAGGAAUUUGUAUUUAGAAUAAAAGAUUACUUGAGGCAAUAUGCCUGGGACAAACAACUAGAGUCGUGGGUGAAGACAUACCUUGUUAUUUCCAAGAAUCUAUCUCCAACAGUAAUCUCACCGAAGGAGUACAAAUUAAGAUUCAGGGCAUUUAUGUCUCAGUAUUUCAAAUCAGUCCUAGAUGCUCGAGUCUUGAGGAAUGACUGUUUGUAAUGUUGGUAGAUGAACUUAUCUUGAAUUCUUGAGUAUCGUUCAUGCUGCCAUGGUCCAUGUCUUACCGAAAAAUAUGGCUUAAUCCAUGUUUAGCAUGCGUAAAACGUUGGAUGUGUCCAGCGUUAAGUU